CCUAUGGGAGUGCAGUGGUUUAAUAGACUUGACUUCAGAUCAAAAGGUCCUGAGUUCAAGCCCUGGCCAUGGCC